UACGAAGGGGGCUAGCGUUGUUCGGAAUUACUGGGCGUAAAGCGCGCGCAGGCGGCCUUUCAAGUCAGGGGUGAAAGCCCGGAGCUCAACUCCGGAAUUGCCUUUGAAACUGUCAGGCUCGAGUACGGGAGAGGUGAGUGGAAUUCCCAGUGUAGAGGUGAAAUGCGUAGAUAUUGGGAGGAACACCGGUGGCGAAGGCGGCAUCCUGGACCAACACUGACGCUGAGUGAGCGAAAGCCAGGGGAGCAAACGGG
rnacentral:rRNA from 1 species